rnacentral:tRNA from 1 species
AAUGAUUUGCCUGAUUAAAGGAUUAUCUUGAUAGGGUAAAUAAAAUAAUAAAUUAUAUUCAUUA